rnacentral:rRNA from 1 species
AGCGAACGCUGGCGGCAGGCUUAACACAUGCAAGUCGAACGCCAUCUUCGGAUGGAGUGGCAGACGGGUGAGUAACGCGUGGGAACGUACCCUUUGGUUCGGAAUAUUCUCGGGAAACUGAGAGCAAUACCGGAUAAGCCCUACGGGGGAAAGAUUUAUCGCCAAAGGAGCGGCCCGNGUCAGAUUAGGUAGUUGGUGGGGUAAUGGCCUACCAAGCCGACGAUCCAUAGCUGGUUUGAGAGGAUGAUCAGUCACACUGGAACUGAGACACGGUCCAGACUCCUACGGGAGGCAGCAGUGGGGAAUAUUGCACAAUGGACGAAAGUCUGAUGCAGCAACGCCGCGUGGAGGAUGACACAUUCGUGCGUAAACUCCUUUAUAUA